GUACACGCUGUGACUAGCAUAUCAAUAAGCGGAGGAAAAGAAACUAACAAGGAUUCCCUUAGUAACGGCGAGUGAAGCGGGAAGAGCUCAAAUUUGAAAUCUUCAAGGUUUUACCUUGACGAAUUGUAGUUUAAAGAAGUGUUUUCUGUUACGAUCGUAAUAUAAGUUCUUUGGAAUAGGACAUCACGGAGGGUGAGAAUCCCGUCUAUGAUUGCGAUUUGUAGCUUUGUGAUACACUUUCAAAGAGUCGGGUUGUUUGGGAAUGCAGCCCAAAACGGGAGGUAAAUUUCUUCUAAGGCUAAAUAUUGGCGAGAGACCGAUAGCGAACAAGUACCGUGAGGGAAAGAUGAAAAGAACUUUGAAAAGAGAGUUAAAUAGUACGUGAAAUUGUCAAAAGGGUAAGCGUUUAACACCAGUGUUGUUUUCUGAAAAUCAACCUCUGUUAGCCUUAUGCAAUGUUUGUUUAGACCUAAUCAGCUAUCUUGCAUGUUCUAUUGUUUGCAGUGGUGCACUUUUCAGUUUACAGGUCAACAUCAGUUUUUUUUACCGUAAAAAAGUUAAAGAAAGGUAGCUCAUGGCUCCGGUCGUGAGUGUUAUAGUCUUUUUCCUAUGCGGUAGGAGAGACUGAGGUCUGCAGUGUAGGCUAUUUGGCUAGAUACUCAGGUGCUAUGUGAUACCAUUUCAUAAACAACUUGUUGAUUAUGUUUUGUCUAUUGCAUACUCGCUUGUACUAUCAUACCUACGCUUAGGAUGUUGACAGCAGUAUAGACUGU
rnacentral:rRNA from 1 species